ACUGAAUGGAGGACCGAACCGACUUACGUUGAAAAGUGAGCGGAUGAACUGAGGGUAGCGGAGAAAUUCCAAUCGAACCUGGAGAUAGCUGGUUCUCUCCGAAAUAGCUUUAGGGCUAGCCUCAAGUGAUGAUUAUUGGAGGUAGAGCACUGUUUGGACGAGGGGCCCCUCUCGGGUUACCGAAUUCAGACAAACUCCGAAUGCCAAUUAAUUUAACUUGGGAGUCAGAACAUGGGUGAUAAGGUCCGUGUUCGAAAGGGAAACAGCCCAGACCACCAGCUAAGGUCCCAAAAUAUAUGUUAAGUGGAAAAGGAUGUGGCGUUGCCCAGACAACUAGGAUGUUGGCUUAGAAGCAGCCAUCAUUUAAAGAGUGCGUAAUAGCUCACUAGUCGAGUGACACUGCGCCGAAAAUGUACCGGGGCUAAACAUAUUACCGAAGCUGUGGAUUGUCCUUUGGACAAUGGUAGGAGAGCGUUCUAAGGGCGUUGAAGCAUGAUCGUAAGGACAUGUGGAGCGCUUAGAAGUGAGAAUGCCGGUGUGAGUAGCGAAAGACGGGUGAGAAUCCCGUCCACCGAUUGACUAAGGUUUCCAGAGGAAGGCUCGUCCGCUCUGGGUUAGUCGGGUCCUAAGCUGAGGCCGACAGGCGUAGGCGAUGGAUAACAGGUUGAU
rnacentral:rRNA from 1 species